rnacentral:rRNA from 1 species
AGAGUUUGAUCAUGGCUCAGAUUGAACGCUGGCGGCAGGCCUAACACAUGCAAGUCGAGCGGUAGCACAGAGAGCUUGCUCUCGGGUGACGAGCGGCGGACGGGUGAGUAAUGUCUGGGAAACUGCCUGAUGGAGGGGGAUAACUACUGGAAACGGUAGCUAAUACCGCAUAAUGUCGCAAGACCAAAGUGGGGGACCUUCGGGCCUCAUGCCAUCAGAUGUGCCCAGAUGGGAUUAGCUAGUAGGUGGGGUAACGGCUCACCUAGGCGACGAUCCCUAGCUGGUCUGAGAGGAUGACCAGCCACACUGGAACUGAGACACGGUCCAGACUCCUACGGGAGGCAGCAGUGGGGAAUAUUGCACAAUGGGCGCAAGCCUGAUGCAGCCAUGCCGCGUGUGUGAAGAAGGCCUUCGGGUUGUAAAGCACUUUCAGCGGGGAGGAAGGCGAUAAGGUUAAUAACCUUGUCGAUUGACGUUACCCGCAGAAGAAGCACCGGCUAACUCCGUGCCAGCAGCCGCGGUAAUACGGAGGGUGCAAGCGUUAAUCGGAAUUACUGGGCGUAAAGCGCACGCAGGCGGUCUGUCAAGUCGGAUGUGAAAUCCCCGGGCUUAACCUGGGAACUGCAUUCGAAACUGGCAGGCUAGAGUCUUGUAGAGGGGGGUAGAAUUCCAGGUGUAGCGGUGAAAUGCGUAGAGAUCUGGAGGAAUACCGGUGGCGAAGGCGGCCCCCUGGACAAAGACUGACGCUCAGGUGCGAAAGCGUGGGGAGCAAACAGGAUUAGAUACCCUGGUAGUCCACGCCGUAAACGAUGUCGAUUUGGAGGUUGUGCCCUUGAGGCGUGGCUUCCGGAGCUAACGCGU